AGAAGUUCAAAUGAGUAGAUGGCAAAAAAUGAUCGAAGCGGCAAAAAGAAAGUAAAUCUCACCAGCCCAGGAGAAGAAAGAAGAAAAUAGAAAAAGAGUAAAAAGGGGUGAAGCCACAUGCGCCGAUGUAUGUAGAGUAAACGCCGGAAAUGAGGAUACGCAAGAAGAUGAUACCGGAGAUUGGAAAAUACAGGAAAGAAGGAGGAGAAAAAGGAAAGAAAUAGAAAAUAUUGGAAUAAUAGAGGUAAAUAGUAUUAGGUCAUCCCAUAAGUUCGUGCCGACUUUGUGUAUACAUUUCAUCAGAAGAAAUAGACCGAAAGCAAUUAUAGUAAAAGUAGAGGAAACCGUUCAGUGGAUAGAAACAGACAAAAUUUUAAUGAAGGGCAAGCAGAUGGAUGCAGAUAAUUUUAUUUUAAAAUUUGACUUCAAUUAUCGGAACUUAUUUAUUCAUAAUUCAAACGACGAAGAGGCACAUGCAGAAUGUUUCCAGGCUACUGUAGAAACGACAUGUGCCUCCGAAAUAAAAAAAGUUUAUCCUGCUAUAAGAAAACAAGUAGAAACUAUCGGUGGUGUGAAGAACUAAAGGUAUUUAGGGGGGAGGCGUUUAAACUUUAAAGCUCAGAGAGCACAAAAUAAGAGGAUUACAGGACGCGGGUAAAUUGAUUGAGGAAUUUAGAAUUUAAAGAAAAGAGCUUAGUAAGAAGAUUCGCGAAAAUAAAGAAAAAAAGGAUGGAAGGAAUUUUGCGUCACGUUGGAUAGGGACCCAUGGCGGAGGUCUUAUCGGACUAUUAUAUCCAAGAUAGCCUGAAAAGUCCCAACAGACGGCUUCUACGUAAACAAGGUCUAAAAAAUUUGUUGGACACGCUAGCGC
rnacentral:misc_RNA from 1 species